rnacentral:misc_RNA from 1 species
GAACGCACAUUGCGCCCAUUAGUAUUCUAGUGGGCAUGCCUGUUCGAGCGUCAUUUCAACCCUUAAGCCUAGCUUAGUGUUGGGAAUCUACUGUAUUGUAGUUCCUGAAAUACAACGGCGGAUCUGUAAUAUCCUCUGAGCGUAGUAAUUUUUUUCUCGCUUUGGUUAGGUGUUGCAGCUCUCAGCCGCUAAACCCCCCAAUUUUAAUGGUUGACCUCGGAUCAGGUAGGAAUACCCGCUGAACUUAAG